rnacentral:piRNA from 1 species
UAUUUUGGCUAGUGCUUACGGUUUAUCU